CACACAGAUGUACGUAUCCGGCUGUCAAUCCAUCUGUGGAAGGGACUGGAUGGAACGGUUUGCCUUUGAAGAGGUGGAAAGGAGGGCAGAUUCAUGUACACCACAGCUAAGGAAUCUGUUUUCUCCCACUGCUCAUUGUUUAUAUAUUGUGUUCUGUUCAUAUUUUCUCUCUGUCGUUCUAGGACCGUGCAGGUAACUGCAACUGAGGCAAUAUAGCCAGAGACUCACAGAGCUAGUGGGAUCUGUUCUGUAGCUAGCAAAACGUAACAAGCUUUCCUGUGAUUGAAGAGACACGUGUGAAGACCAUCUUAGUCCUUGCUGUUAAGAUAUAUUUAUGGAGCAAGAUAGAUCCGCACUGAAGACGACAGACGGAGUGGGACAAUCAUGGCCUCCAGCCAUCUCUUCAGCCUUCCUAUAUAUACCCUGUUAUCGAACCAUCAGGAAGCAGGUCUGCUGCUGCCACACGUUGAGUCAAUGUUUUCUGUGUUUCGCCAAACUGGCGAGUUUUGAUCAUAAGAAAACAUCCUUACAAAGAAGCUUGUUACUGCACAGUUGGUAUCCAGUCAGAGACUGAGUUCAAGAACUGUCUCAUUUUAGAUGGCAGAUGCAGAUACCAUCUCAUCAGAAGGUCCAUUCCAUUCCGUCCAGUGAAGGAAUCGUGCUUAGUUCUCCCUUUGCAACACUUACCUGGGCCAUGAUGUCAGAUUCACAACAUUCAGUGUUCUAUGCCCACAGCAGCCAGUGAUACAGAGCAAGGACAGGGAAGUGAGGUCACAACACAAGGCAAAUGUUAGCCACGUCCCCAGCAUUUGAAAAAUGCAGCUGAUACGGAUGCUGAAGUGAAAAUAGAAGCUGAAAGGCAUUUUUGUACCAUUGCUGGAAGCCUGCAACACGCUGGAACUUGCCGGAACUCAGUUCCAUCACUUCUCAGGCG